UACAGAGGGGGCAAGCGUUAUUCGGAAUUAUUGGGCGUAAAGGGCGCGUAGGCGGCCUGGCAAGUGGAAGGUGAAAUCCCUCGGCUUAACCGAGGAACUGCCCUCCAAACUGCUUGGCUUGAGUCCGGGAGAGGUGAGUGGAAUUCCCAGUGUAGCGGUGAAAUGCGUAGAUAUUGGGAGGAACACCAGUGGCGAAGGCGGCUCACUGGACCGGAACUGACGCUGAGGUGCGAAAGCGUGGGGAGCGAACGGG
rnacentral:rRNA from 1 species